UACGGGGGGAGCAAGCGUUGUUCGGAUUUACUGGGCGUAAAGGGCGCGUAGGCGGCCAGCGCAAGUCAGUUGUGAAAUCUCCGAGCUUAACUCGGAAACUGCCAUUGAUACUAUUUGUCUUGAAUACUGUGGAGGUCAGCGGAAUAUGUCAUGUAGCGGUGAAAUGCUUAGAUAUGACAUAGAACACCAAUUGCGAAGGCAGCUGGCUACACAAAUAUUGACACUGAGGCACGAAAGCGUGGGGAUCAAACAGG
rnacentral:rRNA from 1 species